AUUGCCGUACAAUAGCCAAGAGGAUGGUACAACAGUUGCCGAAAAUCUUUGCUGAUACAAUGAAAGAUGGCUCUACAAUUGGGAGUGGCCAUGGAUCCCUGUUAAACCAGAGGAAAAGACGCGUUGAGCAUAAGAAUGGUGAUAAUCCUCUGGUACGACUAAGAAAGAGAAAAACACUCAGGCUCAUUGACUGCAAGAGGGCCAACUGACGAAUACGGCUGUGUAAGAUGGCAACCUGACUUUCCCACUGAAGAAACGGAAGAACCUUUGACGGCAAAGCAUGAGAAAAUGAAGCAGUUUUAUUCCAAAGAAGGGCCUACAGGAGGUGACAGAGGACAACUCUCGCAGCUCAUGCAAGCAACAUUUGACUUACAGCGCAGUGCCAUCAACGCUAGCCCAGCACCUAAGGUAGCCGAGCUGAGGAGUGAGUCACUAAGACUGAUUGUUCAAGGGGACAUAACGACUGCUGCCAAAUGGGAUGACAAGCAUCGAGAAGGAGGUCGUGAUGACGGUCCACUCAAACUUUGUGGAAGCGCCGGCAGCUUUUUUUUUUUGCCUCAUUCUACACCUUCAAUCUGCAAUACCAAGAGCAGGCUUCACGCACCCUAAAGUUCAUCCAAAGAUGUUUUGCUGGAAUCAAUGCAUCCACUGGCUCGAGGACCGCCACAGCAGAGGUCAUCAGCAAGAAAAGCAGAAAGGGAGUGGAGAAGAAGAGCCACACAAUGAAUGUACAUGUCUGUACUCUGCCCAGGAAGAUAAUGGACUUAGAAAAGCUAUAGACUAGUUCCUAUUGGCCAUACAUUUAAUUUAUUUGAGUCAAUUGUGACCUGCUCAAGUAAGUUUGGUUUGUCACUGGGGUUGGCUCUUUUUUUGUGUUUAACAAUUAUCCAGUAUGCACUGAAAUUGACAAAUUGUUGAGGAAGUAAUGCUACUUUGGAUGUUUGGAAAUGUCUGGCAUUUACUCAACUUGAGCAGGCAACCCUUAUUAAAGCUUGAGCAUGUAGUUUUGGGAAGGGCCAAAUUAGAAAUCUGGGAAUAGGACAAAAUAUCCAUUGAUCUUUUCUGACCUUAAUCUCACAAUUCUAAAGUCUAAUUACCCUUCCCAAAAAGACAUACUCUGUGUUUAACCUGGGAGUGAAGGUAAUGACAAACCUAAGAUAAGGCCAGGCAGAGAGCAGGCCUACUACCCCUCUUAGCAGGAAACAAUAUUUUUUUUUAAAUGUAUAGCUCAAAGCGAGGCAAUGUGAUUUUUUGAGUUACCUGUGUGUGAAAAGUUAUUUUUAUUUCAAAAGCUAAGAUAUGUACCAGUGCUUUUCUUAUCUGUAAUUAUGUCACUUUCUAUGGUGGAACAGUUGUAAACAUGCACCUUAUUCAGGACAUUGAUAUAUAUUUUUUUCAUUGAUACACUUGAAAUAUUUUUGUUGAAAAAAAUGGCUUUGCAUCUGAAUGCAGAAUAGCCUUGUGACAAACUAUCAAUAUUUGUUUAAUGUCACAUACAAGCUAGAAUAUCAUACCAAUACUGUUAAGAUGAACAAUUGUAUUUUGUCCUAAUGAAUAAUUUAAAAAUGUACACAUUUUGAUAGGUGCUGGGGGAAAGGUGUAGGUUUGUCGUUGAGGCAUUUAUGAUGCAGCACAUUUGGCUACGGUUUAUUGGCAUUUCCCACCUAGCAAUGGUGAAGUUGUACUAUGGGAGCUUAUUGAAAGUGUUUGUCACUUUUUUUGUUUGUUAACAUUAAACCAUGCUUA